UAUGACUAUGCCACUCUAAAAAAGUCUGCAGUAUGCCCACAUUUUGAAUGCAGUAUGCAGUUCUUAUCUCUUCCUAGCUCAAACAGAUCUAGUGGAACUAGGAAAGCUAAAGAGAAAGGGGACAAGGUGACAGAAGAUAUGGGACAGCUUCUGUAAGGAGCUACGUUUGCUGAACAUUCCUGAAAAUGCUGAAGUUCCUUCCACCAUCAAUGACUGUAAGAGGACUGCGCUGCAUCUUGUGCAUUUGAGCACAAAAUUUGGAACCAGACAAGAUGGUGAAAGAAAGAUUUGGAAAAAGUAACAGGGACAAAGCAGGCAAAGUGGGCCAGAGACAAAAUCGACUUGAAGAAAUUGAUCAAUGAAUGGAGUCAGUUUGUAGCUAAUUAAAUAAGUUGCUAUUGAAAUGAAUUGAAAGCUUAAGACAACACCUCACUGAAGUAACUAAAAAGGAGGGAAAAUAACACACAGUUGCACACCAUUGUAUCUUAAAAGAAUUUUGCCAGUGAGGUCAACAUUAUUUUUAUGUCAGAGGUAGGAAAGCUUUUGUACAGAAAACAGAAGUGAUUUUCCCGAGGUCAUUCGGUAUUACUGGGAAUAAAAACUGUGUUCCCAGCCAAUUGACCCCUUUGCUCAGCAACUCUACUUCCAGUUUUCCUCACUCUUAUAGCAAUCUAUCAAUAUCACCUGCAAAAGUACAGGCUUCAGUGGAAGCAGAGACAGGAAUAACAUGCACCGAACAAGCAUUCACUGCAUUCAGCAGUGAAUUCCCGAGAUGCUCAAGAAAGCUCAAGGGAAAGACCAAAACCAGAAUGGUAAUGCUGACCUCAUUUUCUGAGGGAAACAAAUUCAUAAAAGGACUGGAGUAUAUUAAUGAAGGACUUGAUAGAUAUAAUAAAGCACUGAUUUUGCACCUUUGAGAAACCCUAUAGUUCACUUACAAAUGUUAAAAACAUUAAAUUUCCCUUAUUAUGUAUGUUACAACACAUUUGAUAAAUGGCAACAACUUCAUGAUCAGGCCAGAAUUCAUAACUAUAUUCUGGUUUUCUUCCCUUUCCUAAUUCCAAUUUCUAACUAAAAUGGCUAACUGAGCUUGCUUUUCUCUCUUUCUGCCAUUUAUUCAAUUAUCACUUCUCCUCUAGGUCUCUCCCUUCUACAUAGCUCAUCUCUGAGUAGGUGGUGAAGCUUUCACUUCUAUCCCACCUAUUUGGACAUGAUUCUUCAUUUACUUUGAGUCACUUUCACUUCAAAAUUAUGCAUCCCCUGUCUAUGACCCUUUGUAUGUCCUAUACUAAGAAGGAAAGUCUGUCAUAUACUUCAACCACCUCUUUAAUGUACUAAAAAAGUAAUUUCUGGUGCUUGAGAAGGAAAAAUAAUCCCACCUCUAAAAUCUUAAACUGUAAGAGACAGACAAAAUGAUACCUCUCUGGGUCAACAUCUUAAACUACUUAAACUGAUGUAGUUUUAAAUUUUCUUAGAAUUAGUUAAUCUAGACGUCUAGAUAGCAGAGUUUGUUUUGUACAGAAGUUCAAUCCUUCUUUAAAUGUUCUUUUUUUCCUGACUAAUUCCUGGUUAAUUACAGUAUAAGUCCCUCUUCCCACAGAAACAGGUUUUCAGCUACCUCCAGCAAAUCAGCACGCAUUACGGUGCAUCUUGUCAGUGUUGUGCUUGGUGAUUUUCAUGCUGUGUCUGGAGUAACUCUAGCCUAUUGUCUUGUUCUGAAUCUGCCCUGAGUCUCAUUCACCCUCUCUGUUCCUUUUCAAUUGUCUGUCUGCCAUCAUGUGUUGUGCUUUUAUUUCUACUGACCUAAAUACUGAUGACUCACCUUUUCCCUCUGAGUAGUUUUUCCUCAACUCUCACAUAAAACCACUUUUAUUUUCCUUAUAAUGCAUGCAAUUCAUGUGUGGUUAAGAUCUCUUUAAGAAGAUCAACAUAUAUAUUAAAGAUCCAGUGCUAAUGCAACAGUAGUAACCUAAAAUGUAGGUACAGUUUUGUCAAAGUUAGCUUAUAAUUUCAGUGAAUUUAAAAAGUACAUGGAGAGCUUGACUACAAAGGCAAAACAUAGAUCUGACCCCUCUCAAGUCAGUGACAGACACAUUUGUAUGCCAGAAUCAGACCCUUGCCCACCAGAUAAUCCCUACAAGGAAUUAGAUACUUAGACCUUCACAAAUUCCACUUCUGUUGGCUUUUGAGUGACCUGAAACUUCUAUUUCACUUGGCUGUUUAAAUUAAUCUGGAGACCCAUUUGAAGAUUUACAAAUGAUGGUUACUACUUCUUUUGUGCUUCUGCCCAUUUGGAACUAGUUUAAUACUUCCAGGUGACCUAAAUACAAUUCUGAAGGAAUGGACCCAUCAUAAAGAGUUCUAUUUACAUAAUUCAUUUUUGUAAGUAUUUUCCUACCAUUUUGCUGUUCAGAUGAAUAUUUUUUGUAUAAUUAAAAACAAAAAAAACCCAAUACUCCAAAAAUUAACUUGCCCGUUGCCUGGGGAAAAGUGUUAUUCUUCCAGGCAUUUUGUGUCAGAGAAGCAGGUAAUGAAUCUUUCUGAUCUGUCUUUGAAGCACUCCAGACAAUUGAGAACAGGUUGAAUCAGAUGUCAGACCGAUCGAUAGCUUAGAGGUGAUGGAGUCAUUGGACUAGCUCAGCACUAGCAGUAGAAAAGAAAUGGUCCAAAGAAACUGAAUGUUUAUGGGGAAAUGUACAUUAUUUCAAAGAAAUAUAAUAAAGGAAAUCAAAUUGUUGCUAAGGAUAACUUCUAUAGAAUCACUAUAUACCGUCUCUCUCUGAUAUACACUCAGUUCCUACUAAAGAAGCCCAGUGAUUUAUAUACACAGGAUUGUGACUGAGGAACAGAAAUAUCUAAUCAAAGUGAACAUACAGUAAACUUAGAGUGUUUGAAAAACAUUAAAAUGUUCACAUUCAGCUCACCUUUUUAUAUUACUCCUUCUGUCUUUAUAUUAACUAUAUUGAGGCUUUCUGGAUCAUCUCCAGCUUGAGUAUAUUUUCCCAUUAGUGAGCUCACCAAAAUUACACCUAAUAAAGUAGAAGCCUUAGAACACCAAGCACUCUACUCACUAUCUGCACAGUUUUCUCAGACAGAGGGGUACAUUGAGAUUAAUGAUGUUUGGAGAUAUACAUUUAGAUUUGUAUGAAGAUAUUUUUCCUUUCUUUUUAAACUGUAGAUUCAGUGAAAGCAUCCUGAAACUAUUUGCAAAGGCAGGUUGAAUUUACUGAGUAGCUCUAUCUGGAAAAAAGCAGCCAGGGGAAAAUUCACAAAAAUGGUAGUCAAAGAGAUGUAGUUCCCUUUUCUCAAAGCACUCCCAUGGGACAGAGAAGACCGUGGGUCCCACUUCUCUGUAUUUCUGGAGGAAUAUGAAUUUGUAUGCCCUAUUUCCCAACAGAGUACCUUAUUUUUGUGAAAAAGAAUUAUGAAGCCAGACCUCUUAGCCCCUCAGGCUGAAUCAAAAUACAGAAGGAGUCAGUGAGACAGAGCACAGGACUGUUUCACAAGCUGUUUUACCUACAAGCUGGGAGUAUACUCACUACAGUGAUUAGUUCCUUAUGAAGAUGAUGUCUAAAUGCUUUGGAUGCUCCAGUACAUUUUCAUUUAUACAGAAGUCAGCCGAACAGUCCUCACUUCAGAUUCAAACCAACUGUCUGCAUCACCGAUGUAGACAAUCUGUUAACCAGAUUUUACAGCCUAUAUGUCCUGAUCAGUAUGGAGUACGCGGUAUGCAAGAAUAUAUAGACUUUCCUUUGUCUAAGGAUCCUCCAUAGGAGCCAUUCCACGGGACUAUAUUAUCUUUAAUCCCACAUGUUGUAGGAUUUUCUUGUUCUAUUUGACCCCGAGACAAUUACAUUGGAAUAGAGCAUGUUCACUGAUAUUCUUCAAAGAUUUAUACCUACUUCACUGACUUUUUGCUCCCUGUUUCUGAGGACUGAAUUGCCUUCCAGAAGUACUAUAAUAUUGGUUCACCUUAUUUAGAAAUAUGCACAUGUACACAAGCACACACAGAGAAAUAUACUAUGGAUUGAAAGCAUACUUUUGUACAACAGUGAAAAAUAUUCCAUUGUUGUGAUAUUAGGCUUGAUUCACUAUCAGCUGGUAUUUGAAAGACUGAUGCACGCUACAGAACAGAAUUAUAAAACAUUAUUUUGAAUUUAUUUGAUGAACAUGCGAUGGUGGUGUCAGCUCUCAAAUAAAGACUAGAACAGUCAGGAAGGGGAAUUACUCAAUGAAUUACUAUUGGUUUAUUUUAAACUGCCUUGUUAUUUACCUACAACAUGUUGCAGAUAAUACGUCACUCUUCUUAGCAGCAAAAUCAACCAAUUAAUUCCAAAGACGGUUGUGUGUUCUCCAUCUCCUUCAAAGCAUUUUCAGAACAACAGUUCAGAAAUGAAAGAAAUACAAUGUCUUCAAAUAGCUUUAGGAGAAAAGUCUUAAAUGUAUGUCAUUCUCUCCAGCAGCGCCAAAAAUGGUUUAUGACAAAAAAACAAAAUACGUAUUUUUUUUAAUGUUUCCUUCGUGGUUUCAACUGUUUUGGAAGACUAUCUCUCAAAAUGGAGAGACAAAUAAUCCUGUGCUUUUCUUUUAAUGAUGUGGAUUAAACAUAAACAAACUGCCUUUUUUUUGCUCUUUGUGUAUAAGAUUUUACUUUCUUUAUGAUCAAAACCUCUACUUCUUUCAACUAUAUUGAGAUGCUCAAAAAGUUCAGUGCUCCUUUGGAUGCUUUGUUAUUACACUCCAGUAUCUGACAGCUGGAAGCUUGAAGCACGUAGAACAAGAAAGAAGAGUCAUUUUCCAACAUUUUACAACACCGUCCUAGAAGAAAACUCCUAGGAGUGUUCUAAGGAAGUGAAAGAGGCAAUAUGGGCCUUCCAUUUAUGUUGAGUCUAUUCAACAAAGGACUGAUUUAGUUCCACUGAAUUUUGACUAAGCAAGCCCUGCAAGGUCUAAGUGGG